AGUGAACGCUGGCGGCGUGCCUAAUACAUGUAAGUCGAACGAUGAAGUCCUAGCUUGCUAGGAUGGAUUAGUGGCGCACGGGUGAGUAAUAUAUAGUUAAUCUGCCCUACACAGAGGAACAACAGUUGGAAACGACUGCUAAUACCUCAUACUCCUAUUUGACAUAAGUUAAAUAGGGAAAGUCUUUUCGGUGUAAGAUGAGACUAUAUCGUAUCAGCUAGUUGGUAAGGUAAUGUCUUACCAAGGGUAUGACUCGUAACUGGUCUAGGAGGAUGAUCAGAAAAAUAGGAACGGAGAAACGGUCAAAAAACAGACGGGAGGGAGCAGUAAGGAAUAAUGAGAAAUGGGGGAAACACUGACGAAGCAACGCAGAGUGGAGGAUGACACGUUUCGGAGAGAAAACUACUUUUAUCAGGAAAGAAUAAUGAAGGUAACUGAUGAAUAAGCAACGGCUAACUCCGUG
rnacentral:rRNA from 1 species